UACGGAGGGUGCAAACGUUGCUCGGAAUUAUUGGGCGUGAAGCGCACGUAGGCGGUCCGACAAGUCGGGUGUGAAAGCCCUCGGCUCAACCGAGGAAGUGCACUCGAAACUGUCGGACUUGAGUACGGGAGAGGAUCGCGGAAUUCCCGGUGUAGAGGUGAAAUUCGUAGAUAUCGGGAGGAACACCAGCGGCGAAGGCGGCGAUCUGGACCGAUACUGACGCUGAGGUGCGAAAGCGUGGGGAGCAAACAGG
rnacentral:rRNA from 1 species